rnacentral:lncRNA from 1 species
UAACAUCAACAUUAAUUAACAAAUUCUAUUAUUGACAAAUUUUGUAAAUCUAGCUAAAUUUCCUACAUUAACCACCUAAUCAACACUAAUUAACAUAAAAUCCGUAAACAUAUCUAAAUUCCCUACACUAACCACCUAAUCUACCAUAAACUAAUCAAAUUAGAGAGGAAAUAGAGAGAGCGUACCAUUGCUACGAAAGGGAGAGGAAGUGGAGACGAAAUGGAAGUGAGCUCGCGUGUGUAUAUAUAAGAAAUUAGAGUCGUCGUAAUUUCCUCGUAAAGUUACAAGGAAUUCGCGAGGCCCGUAUUUUUUUAGGACGACUUAGCAAGGCCCGCGUUUUGUUUCCUCGUAACUUCCUCGUUAAUUUACGACCAAUUAGCAAGGCCCACGUUUUGCUUCCUCGUAAUGUCCUCGUUAAUUUACAAGGAAAUAGUCAGGCCCAUGCUUUUAUUUACGAGGAAAUACAAAGGCCCGCGUGGAAUUAACGAGUCCCGCGUUCUUUAUUUUAAGGAUUCAUCGUAAGUUACUCGUUAGUUUACGAGGACAUAACGAGGAUUAUGUUUAAAUCCCUAAAAUCCAAAACCCCAAACCCCAAAUCCCAUUUUCCUUAUCUUCUACUUCAUAUAUUCCAAACCCCAAACCCAUCUUCCCUUUAUAAUUCCUUAACUUAUAAUUUCAAUCUCUUCUUUCUAA